UGUAACCGGGCCUUCGACUUCGCUCCUGUUAGGGCAAGGUUCUCCUCCUGUCCCUAACAGGACUGUGGGGGCACAUAUGGGCAUCGCAGGGCCUCUCCCCCCAUCCGGUCUAAGUGUAACCGGGCCUUCGACUUUGCUCCUGUUAGGGCGAGGUUCUCCUCCUGUCCCUAACAGGGCUGUGGGGGCACAUACGGGCGUUGCAGGGCCUCUCCCCCCAUCC
rnacentral:lncRNA from 1 species